GCCACGCCCGCUCAAGAAACUACAAAUAGAAUUGACGGGGGCCCCGCACAAGCGGUGGAGUAUGUGGUUUAAUUCGAUGCAACGCGAAGAACCUUACCUGGUCUUGACAUCCCGGAGACCCUUAGGAAACUAGGGGGUGCUUCCAUCUGGAAGAAUUUGGAGACAGGUGCUGCAUGGCUGUCGUCAGCUCGUGUCGUGAGAUGUUGGGUUAAGUCCCGCAACGAGCGCAACCCUUGCCUUUAGUUGCCAGCAGUUCGGCUGGGCACUCUAAAGGGACUGCCGGUGUUAAACCGGAGGAAGGUGGGGAUGACGUCAAGUCCUCAUGGCCUUUAUGACCAGGGCUACACACGUACUACAAUGGCCGAUACAAAGGGCAGCGACACUGCGAGGUGAAGCCAAUCCCGUAAAAUCGGUCUCAGUCCGGAUUGGAGUCUGCAACUCGACUCCAUGAAGUUGGAAUCGCUAGUAAUCGUGGAUCAGCAUGCCACGGUGAAUACGUUCCCGGGCCUU
rnacentral:rRNA from 1 species